AUUCUCUCUGUUAUAAACCCCCAUAUUUAUGUAACCUAUUUUUCCAGACUUACCUCAUAUAGAGGUUUUAUGUUCCUGUUAUAAGCUGUCACCACAACUCAUGUCUUUGGCUUUUAUUUUGAAAGCGUAGAGCAGAAGUGUUGUAGGCAGUG